rnacentral:lncRNA from 1 species
CAGCGAGGUUUGGAGCGCCUCCAAUGAUGACAACAGCCAAGUUCAUAUAGGAAAGCCAGCGUGACAAGCUUCUCCGGAGAACCAACAGCCCAACACUUGCCCUCCAGUUUUCUUUUUAUGCUGUAAACAACAAUCCCCAGGUGAGCCUUCCACACCCAGUACCACACUGACUCAGUUCAGCUGGGUGUUACAAAUUGACCAUUCGUUAAUCCCCCAUUCCCUUAAUAGGAUUCAUUUCACCACGAUAGUGCAUCUCAGGGGCUGUCUGAUUUUACCAUCUUCUAGAUAACAGAUAGUCAGUGAUUUCAUUUCUUACUAUAAUUUAUUG